UACCUCAGUAACGGCGAGUGAAGCGGUAACAGCUCAAAUUUGAAAUCUGGCUCUUUCAGGGUCCGAGUUGUAAUUUGUAGAAGAUGCUUUGGGUGUGGCUCCGGUCUAAGUUCCUUGGAACAGGACGUCAUAGAGGGUGAGAAUCCCGUAUGUGACUGGCAGCUUUCGCCCGUGUAAAGCUCUUUCGACGAGUCGAGUUGUUUGGGAAUGCAGCUCAAAAUGGGUGGUAAAUUUCAUCUAAAGCUAAAUAUUGGCCAGAGACCGAUAGCGCACAAGUAGAGUGAUCGAAAGAUGAAAAGCACUUUGGAAAGAGAGUUAAACAGUACGUGAAAUUGUUGAAAGGGAAGCGCUUGCAACCAGACUCGCAUGCCGUCGAUCAUCCUGGGUUCUCCCUGGUGCACUCGGCGGCGUUCGGGCCAGCAUCGGUUUGGGUGGUGGGAUAAAGGCCUUGGGAAUGUAGCUUCUUUCGGGGAGUGUUAUAGCCCUCGGUGCAAUGCCGCCUACCUGGACCGAGGACCGCGCUUCGGCUAGGAUGCUGGCGUAAUGGUUGUAAGCGACCCGUCUUGAAACACGGACCAAGGAGUCUAACAUCUAUGCGAGUAUUUGGGUGUCAAACCCAUAUGCGUAAUGAAAGUGAACGGAGGUGAGAACCCUUAAGGGUGCAUCAUCGACCGAUCCUGAUGUCUUCGGAUGGAUUUGAGUAAGAGCAUAGCUGUUGGGACCCGAAAGAUGGUGAACUAUGCCUAAAUAGGGUGAAGCCAGAGGAAACUCUGGUGGAGGCUCGCAGCGGUUCUGACGUGCAAAUCGAUCGUCAAAUUUGGGUAUAGGGGCGAAAGACUAAUCGAACCAUUGGAACAUAACUACUAGGUGGUUAAGAGGCUUCGGCCUAGUCCCUUAGCCGGGGCGACAUUGUCAAAUUGUUCGGGGACCUCCUGUGAAUUCUAGGCUACCGCAGCCCGGCCGAGAGGCGGGUGCGCACCGGGUUAACGACCUCGGGGAUGGUAACAACGCCUAGAUAGGGACAAUCCGCAGCUGACUCCUAAGGGCACCGCCUAUGGAGGAAGUUCACAGACUCGACGGCAGUGGGCCUCAGGGCUUAAGAUAGAGUCGUCCACCCGAGGAAUCGGGCUAGGGGCCGAAGUGUCAGGUGUUAUUCCCUCUGGGAAGCCUGGCACCGAACGCCUCUAUAGGGGAUCUG
rnacentral:rRNA from 1 species